UCUACAAGGUAGAGACAAAUGUUUGGAUAAUUAGUUUAGUAAAAAAGUAUUGGUAGAAAUAAACGAGAAAAUGUAUUAAAGUUAUGCUCCUGUUCGUAUUUGAAUGUAAAUAUGAUUGAUAAAACGUUUGAUAACAAGCUAAAUUGGGAGACAAUCAGACAAAUUUAGCAACCCUAAUUUUAAUCGACGUGCAAACGCACCGCCUUCUUGUAACUGGGUGACACAAUUCUUGACACAUUACCUAAUAAUCUCGACGUAUACUAUGACAAUAUCCGAAUUUUGAUUGGCUGUGGAGAGAUACAUUUAAAUACAUUUACUAAAAGACAAGUCUCACGACAAAAUAACACUACUCGACUCCUUCGAAAAUGAUUCUUUGGACCAAUUUGAUUUGUCUACAUUCAUUUUUAACUGGUUUUUAUAACAAAGUUCCGCAUUAUUUCCAGCCAGCAUAAUAAGUACAAUCUAAACCUAUACUAGAGCUAAUUUUGAGAAUUGUUUAAUAGCUGUUGCUAAGCAAUUUAAAACAAUUGAAUAGGCAGUUGCAUAAUUACGAGUAAGCUAUUACAAUGUAUCAAAUAGUUAAAGAAGUAACUGUUAUUUGGUUUGAGAACUUCUGCGCGCAUUUAUCAAGAGAGGACUAGGCCUACUGGGGAUACCUCUAUAAAAAAAGCGCACCUUGGUUCUUACCCCUGAGGUGGUGUGGAAAAAGAGCUAAGAUUUAUUCCAACUAAAAUGGGUUUAUCAACAAACAUGUAUAUAAAUAUUCAAGUGUUGUUUUUUAACUGCUCACACUACAUUUAAUACUAGCGACCGAGACAAAAGCCUAGAUAAGGUUCGCACGCACUGUAAAAGUAAUGUGCGAUACUUUUUCUGUUAUAUAGAGUAAGUCUAUUUUUUCAGCUAUAGCUUAUGUUACUCAGGGAUAAUUAGGCAUCCUUACGAUGAUAGAUUUUUUUAAAUUACCUCAGUAGUUAUUGAGUUUAUUGUUUACAAACUCACAAAAAAAACAAUAACAAAUAAUUUAAUGAGAUGAUGAUUUGUCAAAAUAAAAAAAUAAAUAAAAAGCUAAUCGAAUAAUUAAAUGCCAUGAGUAUUUUCCCACGUUAUGUUAAAUUAAGUAAAUUGUAUUUUUGUCCGCAAGUCGCACAUCCUGUCCAAACUAAACAAUAACUCAAUAAUCCACAAUUGGGUUAUCGUGACGUUGCAUCUCGAGGUUGUAAUAUGCUCGAGCUUUAAAUUAACUACGCAUUUAUAUGUAAAAAUUAUUUAUUAUUGUAAUGCUCAUUUUAAAAUGUUCCUUAUAUUUUUUAUAAUUAUCUAUUACAGAUUGUUUAGCUGUGUUUUAGAUAACUUGGUUUAUGUUUUACUAUAUUGAGAAGCUAGAAAUGUUAUCUAGGCCUAAUUUUAGUCUCUUUCCUUUCCCACCACUUUCUCAUACGGAAAGGAUGAAGGGAAAACUGAUUUGACGGUGGACGAGAUGCAUAGGAUGGGGAAAUGUCGUCUUUAUGUGCGUCUCCUUCACCGUUGAUUAGGCAACGCAUAUGUGGAUAUAUAUGGGCAGCGGUCGCUUCGCUUUCUCGUCGAAUUGAGGUGGCCACUCACUCGUUUGACACCUUAUAUCAUAAAGAAAAUCUAAUUUUUAUCGAUAGAAACAAUACUAGAUACAUUUUCUAGAAAGUUCCACGCAGCUGCGUACUGGCCAGCACAAAUGGGUAGUUCAGGAGACACAGAAACAAAUGACAAACUUCACAAACGCGCAGAAACGCUACAAGUUAAGUCUUUUCUACAUCGAUAAUAAUUUGGAUUAACGACGUGUUCCAACACAGCACUGGUAACCUAGACAGACCCAUCGCCUUAAACAUAAUGAGUUAACAUUAUGUCGUUGAAAAUAGCACAGAGCAUAAAAGCGUCGCGACGAAUUUCCAGGAGACAGGACAGGAGAGUCAGACAGAAAAAAAAGAAACUGUAAAUUAAAUGGACGAGGACGUUGCGGCCGGUCGAUGUCUUUCUCGCUUAGGAGGAAGUCUUAAUGGACAAGAAAUGAUUAAUAUAUGUGGAGCAAUCAUCUUUAAGGACCCUGUGUCGCGCUCCACUACCGCGCUCUCGACUCGACCAUGACCCACAAUAACAUUAAACUCAGUUUUAGGUUAUGCUUAUCAACUUUAAAAUAACGCUCUUUUAUUAACAUUUACUCAAUUUCUGUUAUAUUAUUAUUUCAAUUAUUAAUAAAAGCGUUAUAAACAAAUGAAAAUAAUUAAUGUUUCAUUUCAUAGUCGAACCGAUGUAACUAGAAAAUUUAUCGAUACAUACUUGGGUGCCCGCUUUCAAAGCUUUCACCACUGAGCUAUGAGCUACCUGUUUGUAAUUUGACAUUAAAUGCCCUUUUUCGUAAAAGGGUGAUGUAAGCAAAGGAUAUAUUUAGACCAACUAUUUGGUUAAAUGUAGAUAUUGCUAAUAAAAUGAGAAGAUAAAGAAGUUUACCUAAUUAUGUAUUCAUAAUGGAUAGUUCAUUGUUGCGCGGUAUCCAUUGUGCAUUGUUUGUUAUCGCGUGCUCGUUCGGAUUCGUUGCGGUUUUUGGUAGUUUUACAAAGUGGCAUCUCUAUUAAAUAUAUACCUAUGUCUUAGUUUAAAUGUUUUAUAUUCAAUUCGAUUUCAUUCAACAUUCCCUUCAAGGUGUGCGACAAAAGAUGGCUGGAUUUGUUUAAUGUUUAUAAACCGACAUCGAAACAUUUAUAGGUACAUGGUUAUGCCGAAAAAUUGUAAAACAAGGGCCAAAAACCGACAACAAAGUAUUUUCAUUAGUGUUAAAAUACUACCAUCGAUAUAUUAUAGAUAUGACAUAAAUAACAUCUAUAAGAUUGCUACUUUUAAAGUUUUCAAUGACUCGUGUAGAAUAAAUAGUUGAGCACUUUUAGCACGCACUUUAGGUUCACAAGCACAAAGCUCCUAUUCUAUAGCGAAGAUUUCGGAUAGUGAUGUGGCGCCAAGACUCAAACUAAAGCUCGUUUGUAUUUCGCGCCAAAAUCCGUAUCUUUGGUUUCGUUUCUUGUAAUGAACCACGCUCAGUAAAAUGAAUAAACAA